ACUCAGUUGGUAGAGUACAAAGCUCUUAACAUUGUGGACGUGGGUUCAAGCCCCAU
rnacentral:tRNA from 1 species